UACGUAGGUGGCGAGCGUUAUUCGGAUUUACUGGGCGUAAAGGGUCCGUAGGGGGAUAUAUAAGUCUGAUGUGAAAUUUCGGGGCUCAACCCCGAACCUGCAUUGGAAACUGUAUAUCUAGAAUCCGGUAGAGGUAAGUGGAAUUUGUGGUGUAGCGGUGGAAUGCGUAGAUAUCACAAGGAACACCAAAGGCGAAAGCAGCUUACUGGGCCGGUAUUGACCCUGAGGGACGAAAGCUAAGGUAGCGAAAAGG
rnacentral:rRNA from 1 species